rnacentral:rRNA from 1 species
UACGUAGGGGGCAAGCGUUGUCCGGAUUUAUUGGGCGUAAAGAGCGUGUAGGCGGCCAGACAGGUCUGCUGUGAAAACUCGAGGCUCAACCUCGAGACGCCGGUGGAAACCGUCUGGCUAGAGUCCGGAAGAGGAGAGUGGAAUUCCUGGCGUAGCGGUGAAAUGCGCAGAUAUCAGGAAGAACACCCGUGGCUAAGGCGGCUCUCUAGUACGGUACUGACGCUGAGACGCGAAAGCGUGGGGAGCGAACAGG